rnacentral:rRNA from 1 species
CAUUUUGGGAACCGCAUGGUUCGAAAUUGAAAGGCGGCUUCGGCUGUCACUUAUGGAUGGACCCGCGUCGCAUUAGCUAGUUGGUGAGGUAACGGCUCACCAAGGCAACGAUGCGUAGCCGACCUGAGAGGGUGAUCGGCCACACUGGGACUGAGACACGGCCCAGACUCCUACGGGAGGCAGCAGUAGGGAAUCUUCCGCAAUGGACGAAAGUCUGACGGAGCUAACGCCGCGUGAGUGAUGAAGGCUUUCGGGUCGUAAAACUCUGUUGUUAGGGAAGAACAAGUGCUAGUUGAAUAAGCUGGCACCUUGACGGUACCUAACCAGAAAGCCACGGCUAACUACGUGCCAGCAGCCGCGGUAAUACGUAGGUGGCAAGCGUUAUCCGGAAUUAUUGGGCGCUCUAAAGCGCGCGCAGGUGGUUUCUUAAGUCUGAUGUGAAAGCCCACGGCGUCAACCGUGGAGGGUCAUUGGAAACUGGGAGACUUGAGUGCAGAAGAGGAAAGUGGAAUUCCAUGGUGUAGCGGUGAAAUGCGUAGAGAUAUGGAGGAACACCAGUUGGCGAAAGCGACUUUCUGGUCUGUAACUGACACU